rfam:Oryza glumipatula chromosome 6, whole genome shotgun sequence.
AUAGAUGUUAAUGAAUCUAGACACGUAGAUUCAAUUUCAUGAAUCUACGUGUCUAGAUUCAUUAACAUCUAUA